rnacentral:rRNA from 1 species
AACGUAGGAGACAAACGUUAUCCGGAGUUACUGGGCGUAAAGGGCGUGUAGGCGGUUAGUUAAGUCUGGCGUGAAAUCCCAGGGCUCAACCCUGGAACUGCCUUUGAUACUGUCGAUCUGGAGUAUGGAAGAGGUGAGUGGAAUUCCGAGUGUAGAGGUGAAAUUCGUAGAUAUUCGGAGGAACACCAGUGGCGAAGGCGGCUCACUGGUCCAUUACUGACGCUGAGGUGCGAAAGCGUGGGGAGCAAACAGG